UACGUAGGCAGCGAGCGUUAUCCGGAAUGAUUGGGCGUAAAGCGUCCGCAGGUGGCUGUGUAAGUCUGCUGUUAAAGAGUGAGGCUCAACCUCAUAAAGGCAGUGGAAACUACAUGGCUAGAGUGCGUUCGGGGCAGAGGGAAUUCCUGGUGUAGCGGUGAAAUGCGUAGAGAUCAGGAAGAACACCGGUGGCGAAAGCGCUCUGCUAGGCCGCAACUGACACUGAGGGACGAAAGCUAGGGGAGCGAAUGGG
rnacentral:rRNA from 1 species